CCGCGUUUGCCUUCAUCGAAGAAGCAAUCCGGGGUACGAACUGUGAAGGCGGCGAGGGAGCCUCAGGCACUUGCGACGAUUACCUUGCGUAUAUUGACGAGUACAUCAAUGACGCGUUGAAGGCGUGGAACCACCAGACCGAUGCCACUCACGUCAAUGAUGCCGCUGACAGCGGAAGCACCAACUACGCACCUGUGGUGUCCACCACUAGUGCCUAUCAAGCCUGGCCCAGAACGAGCCACGCUGACAUCGAGAAACUAUCCUCCCCUUCGAAAGACAC